ACAGGCAAUGAGGUACCUGUUCUCAAAUCGCGAUAGCCAAAACAAGAGUGGUGAAGGACUACCAUCAGUAACAUGGGGUCCAAGGAUCACUACUGAAAGAUGCAUGCAGAGUACAAAAUGCAUUUCUUGAAAGAAAGAAAAGAAGAAAAACAACAUUACAAAAGCAAACUGCUUCCAUCACUUACCCAUCUGUCUCCCCUAAAGAGUUCCAGAAGUGGAAAUGACAACAAAUGAGCUCACACUGCAAGGAC